GCGGUCGUUAACCACGCAUCCUAAAAGAUUGAAUUAAUAUUGAACGUGCAGUUAUGGAAAGAUGAUCUUGAGAGAAUUUCAGCUGUCAUUCUUUUUGAGGAGGUGAUGUUAGACUGUGAGUGGAUAUCCUGUUGUGAAGAGGAAGACGAGGUUGCGGUGUCAGCGACGGUUAAUGAAGCAUGUAGAGGAAUUUCGGGCGAAACAGGCAUAGAGACUAGAGGGAAGCUUUGCAUCUGUGUACAGACAUAAACAUGAUUUGCCUAGCUUGGAAUCCUGCAUCAUUAAUAAAGGAAAUAGCCGUGGCUCUUAAACAGUUGAGAGUAUAACUGAUUUGGCAUUUCACAGAUUUACAUAUAUCCCAAAUGGAUCCUCUGAAUGAUUGCUUUUGAGAGGCUUGUCAGAGUACCAUGUGUCACAAGAAGAAGGAGAAAUGAGAGCAUCUUUCACACAGACAAUUAUCGCAUGUUGAUCAGUUUUGGUCAAAAGAAGCAUUUUAACAGGACAAGUAGGGCACAUUGGAACAGCAUAAAUUCUCUUAUCUGAAAGAGCUUCAUCACUGCUGAGGCCUCCUUGAUAAUUCUUUUGCUGUGUUUCAUGUCGAAGAACAACAUAUUCUUUUUCAUCUUCAUCAAAUAGAAAAUUGAAAGAACCUUUACGGAGUUGAUGAAAUUCCAAGCCCCGAGAGACAAGAUGAACCGAGAGAUUGAACCACACACACUGCAGUAGCAUUGGGGGGGGGGGGGAAUAGAGCAGCUUGAAAGCAGGAGGAAAUCUUUUCAAAUCAUCUGAAGUAAUUAGCGAUUUUUAAUGUGUUUUUUAAUGUGUUCAUGUGAUAAUGUUCCGCUUAAACAGGAAAAAGUUUCUCAUUUGGUGAGGAAGAUUCCUUCGGCUUGGCCACACAUUAACUUGUGCAGGUUAAUUGCAAGAACAUCAGAGGGGACGGUUUCAAAAUCGAAGGGCUCAUUGUAAACCUCUGUAUGCCACUCUGAAAAUAAAGAUAUCCUUCAUAACA